GGCGCGGAGGAGGGGCCUAGGAAGCGCGCUGGGGGCGGGCGUGGGUCUUGGAGGACCCCGGCCCCGCCUCGGCUGCCGCUUUGCCAGCCCUCCAAGCCGCAGCGAGUUCUACCCACGGCGAAUCCGCCAAACAAAGCAUCGACUGCUGGACGAGGUCAAGGUUGCGAGUUACCGCCUCAAAUUUAUGCAAAAAAUAGCUAUAAGAGAAGCUGGGAAAGCUGGUCCAAGUACCUGACUUCUUACUUGGGCCUUGCUAAGUUUCUGAGACUGGUCUUGAACUUGGGAUCCUCCUGCCUCAACAUCUGGAAUUACAGUUCAUCUGGCAGGAAGCUAAGAUCCACAGAUGAGAAAUCACCGGACGUUUCUCUGACUUCAAGUUGUGAACUAAGUGCAAUCUCUGAAUUGGAUGGAUUAGGGAAGCUGUUCAAUUACUAUUACCCAGCACCUGAGGGCAGCAGCUGAUGUAAAAACGUGUUCCAUUGCUCCAUGCAUUACCACCUGCUUUACACAAGGCACAGACCUGGGAUCUGGAUUUUGAGCCCUGCUUACAGAACAACUGAAUGAUCACAUGCAUCAUGUUGCAUCCUCUGAGUGACCAAGCUCCCUCAACUAACACAAUAUCUGGCUGGAUCCUAUCGGACUGCUCUAUUAUUACAAGACCAGCAGAUGGCAGGGGUGACUUGUUCAAAGAACUUGCUUAGAAACAUGAAGUUAUUAUCUUGAAACAAGAUUUCUGACGGCUUUCAUUUUGAAUUAUAUAAUUUUAGACCCCAUCUCUCCCCAUCCCCACUCCCACCCUAAGAAAAGUGGGUACAAAUGGGCCCUAAUUCCUCUUCAUGGUUUCUUCACUUAAGCCUAGGAAUUCAGGACCGCCUUGGGCAUCAUAGCAAGACCCUGUCUCUUAGGGAUGGAAGCCACAGGUGCCUACAGUUCACAUUUCCGUAAACCCCAUAACCAACAACUCCCCCAGGGAGACUUUCUUUAGCCUAUCUUUGGCAUCAAACGCUGCCAUAGCUUCAAGUACAGCACCAGUGCUGAGCGGAAUAGGAGUCUACCUUUGCCUCAGAGAGGCAGAGCCCCGUAGUAGCCAGAAAAGACUAGGGGAAGCAAAGGGAACUCCGUCGUGUUUCGCCUUGGCGCUCAGCAGUAGGGCGGGGCCUUGACUCCGGGACAGUAGUUUCCAGGCUCACCUGGGCAGCGCAUCGGUCCAGGUAGAGCUCCAGGUGCUAAUGGACGCUGUCCCUAAAGACUUGCUGUGUUUGUCAUUUUCCCAGGAAAAUGGUUCGAUUUCUUGUAACAUUAAGGGUCUCAAGGGAUACCCCCCAACGUGACAGAGCAUAUUCAAAAGGAAGAAAACAGGAUUGCAAACCUUGGAGGGAGAAGCAACUGCCAUCAGGACAGUAAAGGGCAUUCCCAGCCUUAAGACCUGGUCUUACAGUCUAGACUGCUGGCACCAGCUGCAAGGAGCUAUGAUCCCAGAGACUCAGAAGACUGAGGCAGGCGGAUCAGGAGAGGCCUGGACAAUAUAUAAGACCCCCAUCUCUAAAAAGAAAAAAAAA